AGGAAAGAAUCAACAUCAGCAGGCUGGCCUCUGCCUCCAUACGCAUGCCACAGCAAGUAUGUACAAGCACAUAGAAAUAAAGAUGAUUUUUUAAUUUAAUGCUCGUUGAAUAAUGAAGCUGGAAACUAAAGAUUUUGUUCCUGUCUACCUAGGACCUGGGUUUAAUUCCCAGCACCAAAAAGCUGAGAAUUGACCAUAGAUUUUAGCAUGUAAAUGUCCAGUUUCACCACAUUGAUAGGAGUAAAAGACUAAUUGAGUAGGGUUAGGAGAGAAAGGAAAGGGGCUGCAAAGAUGGCUCAGUGGUUAAGAACGUGUGCUGCUCUUCCAGAGGACUUGAGUUCCAUUCCAGCACCAUGUCUCACAGUUGCCUGUAAGAUCAGCUGCAGAGGACAUGAUGCCCUCUGCUGGUCUCUUCAGGCAUGACACAUGUAGCAAACAUUUAUGUCUUAUUAAAAGGAAAGAAGAAUUGGAAGUAACAAAUAUAGGUGACUUUUACAGGCAUGUUUAAAUUCCUGACCCCUGUCUUGCCUCCCAAGUGUUGGGAUUAUAGGUCUGCAGCACUAUACUGGCUGUAAAAGUAUGUGCACAGUGAUACACACUUGUAGUCCCAGCUACUCUCUGAAGCUCAGAAGGCUAAGACAGAAAGAAGAACCAUUUAACCCAGGAGUUCAAGGCCAACUUACAUAACACAGCAAGACCUUGCUUCAUAAAAUGAAUGAGUGGGUGGGUAAGUGAGUGGAAAUGUUUCCCUGGUUCUUGCAUGUACAUCUUCUAUAGUAACUCUUGCUUUUCCAGCAGUUCACUAGAAACCAUUCCACUAAACUGAACAGCUCCCUUUCUCUUAUGCCUGACUAAUGUCUUCCACUCUCACCUGUCUGUCAAGUAUAACUAAUCUAUACUCUAUGGUUCUGACCUCUUAAUCAAGUAUUUAAUCCAGUAUUGCCAGUCUGUAGAGGAAGAGCGUAUGUGUCACAUCGACCUCAAGAUGUCCCAAAAUUAACCCUAGCUAAAGCCUCUCCUCUUGUUCUGUUUCUACACCAUCACUGCCCAGGCCUACAGUCUCAAGAGCUUGGAAUCAGGAAAUUAUGUCCCCAGAUCUGGUUGAGACCCUGUCUGCCUUGUUCUGUUCGUACUGAGAUAUAGUUGAGACCCUGCCUGCCUUGUCUGUCCACACUGGCUUUCUGCUGCUGCUUCGGUAUGCUGUCACCACUAAAGAAAGUUUUAGUUGUCUUCUUCUUGUUAUCUUUUUGUAACAAGAUUCUAAAUCAUUGGACUUCUCUGUUCACCCCAUCAGACCUUAGAUUUUCUUCCCAGGACUAACCUGGCCUCUUCUCAAUGUUCUCCUCGAUGUUAUCUUUCGCUUGGAGUUCUUGGUGUAUAAUGUUGUGUAAUUUCUCUUAAUAAUCCUUUCACCCGAAUUAGCCUGAAGGCGUAAUUGGGUAAGGUAUGUUGUGGGUUGAAAACCGCUUUAUGCCAUGUAGCAGUAGAUUGUAGCAGUGCUGGACCUUAAGUUUUGGAAUGCAGGCUUCAGGACACAAGGUAUACAAAUGUACUACUCUGUACUGCUGUGAUCACACAUAGAAAAUGAAGCAAUUGGAGACUGCAGAGGUCUUUGCCAGGCAGAGAUUCCUGCUCAGUACCAUUGGAUUCCAGCCUGACUCCUCCCACUCAUAAGGUCUUUUGUAAUCUAUAACUGAUAUGGAAGAUAGGUAAGGAGUUUUAAAAUAACUGGCCAAAAACAGUGGUGUAGAAAUUGGCCUUUAAAAGUAUACUCUGUCCUGUGACUUCAGUACCAUGCAUCUAACCAUGUGGUAUGACAGUCCCUGUGGCAUCGUUCAUGAUAAAAACAGUCCCCUACUAGAUGUAUGGAAAGAUCUGAAGAUACAUGGACAAGACCCGAAGAAAAACCCAGGCUAAGAAAAACAUCAGGACAGACACUGACUCCUGAGCCUGCCUUCUGCGUCUUGAGAGUACACUGGUGCUGUGCUCUGACAAACCUGUUAUUGUUGAGUUUCUUCUGUGUCUUUGAAUUCUUUCUCUAAGAUCAAAAACCUCUGGGAACUCUGGUCCAAUAACAUGACCGUACUAAGUCGCAUAAAAAAGUAUGUCCGGCUGUUUGAUAAGAUAAUCAGAUUGCACUCCUUGCUUUCCAUUUCCCACAAGUCAUUUCCAUUUGGGUUGUGUGUUCUUCUGUUCUUUCCACUUAAAAUAUGCUUUCUUCACUGCC
rnacentral:lncRNA from 1 species